ACGUAGGGGGCGAGCGUUGUCCGGAUUCAUUGGGCGUAAAGAGCUCGUAGGCGGCUUGGCAAGUCGGGUGUGAAAACUUCAGGCUCAACCUGGAGCGGCCACUCGAUACUGCCAUGGCUUGAGUCCGGUAGGGGACCACGGAAUUCCUGGUGUAGCGGUGAAAUGCGCAGAUAUCAGGAGGAACACCGGUGGCGAAGGCGGUGGUCUGGGCCGGAACUGACGCUGAGGGACGAAAGCUAGGGGAGCGAAUGGGA
rnacentral:rRNA from 1 species